GGAGUCGUAUCGAAGUGGUCAUAACGGGGCUGACUCGAAAUCAGUUAGGCGCGAAAGCGCCCCGCGGGUUCGAAUCCCGCCGACUCCG
rnacentral:tRNA from 1 species